rnacentral:rRNA from 1 species
UGGGGAAUAUUGGGCAAUGGGCGCAAGCCUGACCCAGCAACGCCGCGUGAGGGAAGAAGGCUUUCGGGUUGUAAACCUCUGUCCUUGGGGACGAAAAAAAUGACGGUACCCAAGGAGGAAGCUCCGGCUAACUACGUGCCAGCAGCCGCGGUAAUACGUAGGGAGCGAGCGUUGUCCGGAAUUACUGGGCGUAAAGGGUGCGUAGGCGGCAAGGCAAGUCAGAUGUGAAAUCCCCGGGCUUAACUCGGGGGGUGCAUUUGAAACUGCUUUGCUUGAGUGCAGGAGAGGAAAGCGGAAUUCCUAGUGUAGCGGUGAAAUGCGUAGAUAUUAGGAGGAACACCAGUGGCGAAGGCGGCUUUCUGGACUGUAACUGACGCUGAGGCACGAAAGCGUGGGGAGCAAACAG